AUUCUGGUUGCCUUACCCAGCUCUGAAGUCUGUCAGCCUCUUCAGAUGUCACUUGCCAUGUGGUAAGGAAGUGUAGUCAGCAGCUGGUGCAGUGGGAAGAAGAGAAAGGAAGUUCCCCAAGACAAAAACAUCUCGGCAGACCGUGAUCAUGGGCUACAUUCUCCGUACCAGCUUCAUAGCUCCAGUGAGAAAAUAAAUUCCUGCAUCCAGGAGAUGUGGAGUAAGAGAUACAGCUGCCCUUGACCAUAUUUCUUACUUCCGAGAAGAUCGUAGCAGUAAUUCAGUACAGUCUUCAGGGAACACCAAGGCCUGUUUGAUUUUCCAAGUAUCAACAAGUGGAGUUGACAAGAGUGACAAGUGGUCAGAGCAAAGCAUUUCAUGAUGACUGUAACGUGCCUGUGUCAGCAGCGACUGCUUACAGUGAGAUUCACAUGACCAUCGUUUAUGACAUAGGAAGAAUAAAAGGAGAGAGAGAGAGAAAGAUAGGUAGUUGAUCAAAAUGAAGAAUUGGAUUUGGAAAGCAACUUCGAAUAGUCUCUGCUUAUAUUUCUGAGAUUAAGGCAAACAGUCUCAAGAAUCUCAUCCAGGAUACCUCAUCACAGGCUGGAGUGCAGUGUCAUGAGCUUGGCUCACUACAGCCUCCAUCUUCUGUGCUUAAGGAUCCUUCCCUCUCAACCUCCAAGGUAGCUGAGACUACAGGCAACAUUCGAAACCCAGGUGCCACUCCUUCAGGAAGGUACCAUCAAGCUCCAAGGACUCAUCCUCUUUCUCCUUCCCCACUACCUAGUCAUUAGAGCGUCAGCAUCCACUUCCUGAAAGGAAGAUGCCUGUUUUUCACAUAUCCCAGAAAGCCUCAUUUUAGGACAGCAUUUAGCAGAGUGUAUUCAGGAUCCCACUAACCUUUUCGGAAGACAUGACUUCCAGAUGAUAUAAGGCAAGAAUAAGAAAUUUCAGUGACAGGGAACAGAAAUCAUAUUUCUGCAUUCAGGAUCAUGUUUUCUUGGCUCCAUCAGGAACUGUGCAGGACUGUGCACUCUGUUGAUACUCACAUGGUGGAAUUAUAUUGCCCUUGGCCAACCCUAAAGCCAUCAAGAUAGCAGCAACUACUCUAUCAUUACUGUACCACCACCUGUAUGGAUCUCGUUGCCCAUAUGAAACUGAGUAAGGAACAAUGUGCAUCACACUCACAGAGAAAGAUGGACAAGUUUGGAAUAAUUCACUGUCGAAGUCUUCUUGAGCUGAGCAGUCAUGUGAGCUUGGAAGAUGAUCCCUCUCCAGCUGAUCCUUCAGCUCAGGCCAUCAUCUACAUCUGGAUUCCUGACCCGGAGAAACUAUGAGUAAUGUGUGCUGCUUUUGAGCCACUAAGCUACAUGAAUUAAUGAAGGAUCAUUAUUAAGUUUUUAAUGGGUCAAGAGAAAGUUACCACUGAGGUCUUCUCUACCUGGGCAACAAUUGACUCCUAACAACCACUAUAAGCUUGGAAGAUGAUCCCUCCCCAGCUGAUCCUUCAGGUCCUUGGAAAAAACUCAACCAAUUGUCAACCAGAAAAUGCUUAAAUUUAUCUAUAGCCUGUAACCCCACCCCCCACUCCCUACCCUGCUUCAAGCUGUCCUGCCUUUCUGGAACAAACCAAUGUAUUCCUUAAACAUAUUUGAUUGCUGUCUCAUGCUUCCCUAAAAUGUAUAAAACCAAGCUGUACCCCAACCACCUUGGGCACAUGUUCUCAGGACUUCCUGAGGGCUGUGUCAUGGGCCAUGGUCACUCAUAUUUUGCUCAGAA
rnacentral:lncRNA from 1 species